rnacentral:lncRNA from 1 species
AAACCCUAACCUUAUGGUCUCAUUUCAUGGCCUUGUUCAUGUACAUUAUCAGUCAAGUCAUUCAAGUCAUAAGACAAAACAAUUUGGAAACCAACUUCAAACCAUUUGUUAAUCCAUUUCAAUCUAUUUCAUGUCAUUGUAAACCAUUACAUGUGAUUCAACACAAGAAAAUACAAAAUUUGACAUUUUUUGACCAAUUGUUAACUUUGGUCAACAAUUGACUUUUUUGUCAACUUUGACCAAAGUCAACCCAAACUCCAAAAACACUAAAUUUCAUCCUAAUCAUCAAUCCGUUGUCCAUUUACAAAGAAAAUGCCAAGAAAAUGGGUUUUGGACCAAUUUUUAACUUUGGUCAACCGUUGACUUUUUGGUCAACUUUGACCAAAGUCAACCCUAAAAUUCUAAAACCCUAUUUCCCAAACUUGGACCUAAUCUCACGCUAUCUUGUCUUGAUUUACCACCAAAGUCCAUGUGUGCUCCCUUGCUUACUUCAAAUGCAAGUUUCCAUUCAUGUCCAUGAGUGAACCUACAAAACCAAAGCCAAGUCAUGUGCCAAAACUGCAGCAAGACCAUGAAUGUCUGCAACUGUCUCAAGCCAUAGGCCAUACCUACUGAACCUCAUGCCAUAAACCAAAUAAACUCUGCAGCAGGCAGUACAUCAAGGCACACAACUUGCAACAAACCAACAUUACCACAUGAGCAUAAAACCAACUGCAGCAGCACCACAUGAGUGUGCUCAUUCCUUGCUCACAAUACACCACAUUACAAAGCCAAAUCUCCAUGAUUUAACCAACAAAAGGCCAUAACAAACCUACAAUUGGCCCUGCAGUA